AAAAUGUUAGCCUUUGAAAGUCUAUAUAUGUUUAUUUUAUAUAUAUCUGACUUUAGCUUUUGAAGACUAAAAAGAAAAUAACAUAUACUUGACACUGGACAUCACCAGAUGGUGUCAUUUCUGAGGAAUGUCUACUUUGACUAGUGAGAAGAGCUAAUGUCAAACAGGUAAGCCUUCACCACACUAUUCUUUCAUUUUACACAUAAUAGUGGUGAAAGAAACCAUUUAAGGCAGGUCUACAUUGGCAAUGGGAAAUAAAUUAAGCAGUUAACUGGAAAUAUCAGCAGCUAAUGCUCUUUAGUUCAUUAACAGACAACACUUUUAAAACUGAAUUACUCGACAUAUUUAGACUAUGUAGAUAUGAUGUAGAGAUUUGUAUUACAAGCCUGAAAAGACACUUAAAAAAUACAACUUCAGUGUUUUGUGGUAGAGAAUGCACAGAUCAAAAUGAUUCAAACAGUGAGCUGUUCCACUAAAGGUGUUAUUGCACUGCCUCAGACCUUUUUUUGGCUAGAUAUUGAGUAAGCUGUUUAUAGUUACUUUUGUACCGUGGUCUAUGUAUGUGAUGCCGUAACGUAGUGUAUUGACAUGGUAAGAUGAGACAGUCAUACUGGCAGCUUUAAAAAGCAGUAGACAUAAACAGUCAACACUGAGUUUUUACAUAAGCUACAUAGAGGCAGGUAAUAAAUACAUUUAGUGAGCUGGUUGGGCAGCAUAAUGCUUUAUCUGAGUAUUAUUCAAUAAGCUAGGAACUUGAUUUUUUUAGAAAACAGGUAGGAAUACAGUAUUUGU
rnacentral:lncRNA from 1 species